CAGGUUUGUUUUUCCCUUAUUAAUACAUGUUUUCAAUCUCUGAUUUUGUGCUUAAACUUGCAUUUGUUUUUCUGAGUUGUGUUUUAAUACUUUCGAUCUUGCUCUGUCUCUAUCUUCUGUAGUCUUCAAUCUUUAUUCAGUUGGCGUAGAACCAUUUAGAUAUUUUUAUCUUGUCUUCGUGUGCAAUUGUUUCUUCCACUAUUGUUUUAAUUAUGGUUCUAAGAUUUUCUCAUUUCUUUUAAAAGGCUUGUGUUUGUUUCACUACAUUUAACUUAGGCGUUAUUGUAUGUUUGUAGUUUCGUAAAGUUAUUUAAUUCUUCAUGCUCUCUACAUUCUGUUUUGCUUUGCCUUUAGGCUUUCUUGGUCCAUUGUUUUGGCAGCUUUAUUUAGAUCAUAGUGUUAGAAAGUGGUCUGCGUAGGAUCCCACACUAUUUCUCACGUCCUGGAUCCAGAAAUUUCAAUCUAAAGAACUUCUUAACAUAAUAUGGAUGUAUAUUAUUGUUGACUAUAAGGCUUACUUCAGAUUCAUGUUGGGUGUCACAGCUAUAAAAUAUUGUAUAUUUAUUUCAUGUUAUAUUUCCUGUUUCUGUUUAUCUCACUUUUUGGAUAGGCACUUUAAUAUAUACCGGAUAUGUUUCUAUAGUCAAAACGGCUGCAUAUGCCGUCUGCUCGUUUCAAGUUCUUAAACUAAAUUUUCGAACUGUGCACCCGAGGCUAUUGUUAGUUUUUGUUUUAAGUGUUGAAUCGUUAGCCCAACGUCAACCCUUGUUAAUGGAAGGCCCAACGUUACUCAGAGAUCACGGGAUCAUCACGCCUGCUUUCCGAAGAAUAUAUUUGUGGGGUGUAUAGUAAAUUGGAGGAGUAUUUUAGUUUUAAGU